rnacentral:rRNA from 1 species
AGCAGCCGCGGUAAUUCCAGCUCCAAUAGCGUAUAUUAAAGUUGUUGCAGUUAAAAAGCUCGUAGUUGAAUUUCGGGAUCAAUACGUCGGUCGUGCUUCGGUACGUACUGGCGUAAUUGAUUUCUCCCUUCUGACGAACCAUGAUGUCAUUAACUUGGUGUCAUGGGAAAUCAGGACUGUUACCUCGAAAAAAUUAGAGUGUUUAAAGCAGGCUCACGCUUGAAUACAUUAGCAUGGAAUAAUGAAAUAGGACGCUUGAUCCUAUUUUGUUGGUUUCUAGGAUUGACGUAAUGAUUAAUAGGGAUAGUUGGGGGCAUUAGUAUUCAAUUGUCAGAGGUGAAAUUCUUGGAUUUAUUGAAGACUAACUACUGCGAAAGCAUUUGCCAAGGAUGUUUUCAUUAAUCAAGAACGAAAGUUAGGGGAUCGAAGACGAUCAGAUACCGUCGUAGUCUUAACCAUAAACUAUGCCGACUAGGGAUCGGAUGAUGUUAAUUUUUUAANGACUCAUUCGGCGCCUUAC